GACAAUUGUAAAGGAAUGCAUUGUCCGUUGCUCCAAUACUUAAUUCCUUAACAUUUUAUAUGCAACUCUUUUCAAGAUGUUGUGACAGAACACUAUCACCAAUGGGGUUUCUUGGCUCUGGCCCAGGGGCCAACUUAUAGACCACUGUUCCAAGAGCUGCUGCUUUUGCUGCAGCCACUCUCUCUGCUGCCAUUUGACCUCUAUCUUCCAUCUGAACCUCACCUUCAAAGUAAUGAAAAGCAAACGAACAGAGCACCCCUGCCUCAAUGGCUUCUUGGCCAGUCAGCUCAGAUCCUGGAGAUGAGCUCGAUCCAGAAGAACAGCAGGAGUCCAACAGGUCACAGUGAUGCCUUCAAUAAAAGGGUAACUGACGGAUUUUGGCUAAAUCAGACACCCAUCUCACAGUGUGAAACACAGAAGAAAGAGGAUGAAGCAACCAGAAUGGAAAACAGUGAGAUGUCACAAUCUUCAUCAAGUCCUCUAGAGGACAAACACUUUAGUGAGCUGCGUUUUGCCAGGCUCUUCGGCUCUAGAGUUGGAACACCAAUUGGCCCACAGAAGGCACAAAAAAACAUGAGUGGACCUCUGAGAAGUAGGCAGCCCUCAGAAUGGCUGAAGCUUGGUGCAUCCAAAGUGGAUCUGCUUGCGCAGUCAGUAUGGACAGGGAAAUUGCCAGAGGCUCAUCUGAAUGGUAACCAUGAUGGAGAUACACCAAACAAAGAUGAAAUAUUAACUCUAAAGAGCCAGCAAAGAGUCUGAUUUUAGCUAGACAGAGUAAAGCACAAUUAAUCCAAAAUAAACUUUACAUAGCCAACCGACUCAUACUGUACAAUCCAAUACAAGUGCACCAUAUCUGUUCCCGGAUGGAAUGCUGCCUUAGUGAUUUACCAAUCAGGAUAAGUUGUAUUAUAACUUGGUAUUUAAAAGGUAACAAAAUAUUCACUAGCUUUAAGACAUGAUGAUGAAACAAUUUUUUUUAGUUUAAAUUUAUAACACAGUAUAAUGCAGAGUAUAACAUGAAUGGAUAUUGUCUGCCAGCAAUCAAGCACAAAACUGGAACCGAGGUCCCAAGACGUCUUUUCCGACCAAACUCUGCACUUUAUCUCUGUCUCAGGUCAUUAGCUGUCAUGUAAAUCUAGUCAUAUAAUUUCUGCUGUUGUUGAACUAGUUGGCAUUAUAAACAAAAUACUUUUCCUCAUGGUCUGUUUGACAUUGUUUCUAUAACUUAGC
rnacentral:lncRNA from 1 species